UGUCAGGAGGUGCUUUCCUCUCUUACCUCGCAGCCCUAGGAUUCCUGGCAGUUUCGUGAGGCCACAGCUGGAACGCAGCUGCUGGGGGUGGAGUGAGUAGAACCCUUGGUAGGUCAGCAGGGUGAGUGAGGGCCCGGAAUGUUGGAAGGUUGGGAAAGUCCUUCCCUGAGCCAGGACUCAGGAAUGUGCUGGGGCCUCUGCUGAGAAAAUUUUCCAGAUGAGGGAGGGAUAGGGGAAGCUUUUGCCUUCUGGGUAGAUUUUUUUUAAUUGCCCCAGGGAGGUCGACUGUUUUGAAACUGUCUUUUAAAAGAAGCCAUGUGAAUGUUUAAAUUGACCUGGAAACAUCCUCCCUUUUCUGUCCCUGCCUUUGGAAUCUGUUCCGCUGAGCAGUAAUCAACAGGGACAUUUGCCUUAGGGUCUCUCUUCCUUCGCCUCUCUAAAUGUUUAAAAACUUAUUGUUGUUGUUGUUAUCUUUAGUUCGGGGAAACUUUUGGACGCUUUCCAGGCCGCAGCUAUAGAAGUUUCCAGGAAAAUGGAAAAGCAACAUUAGUGUUAUGAGCCUGUCUGGAUCCAGGGCCAGACGUGUUUUAUGGAGUGCCUGCAAGAGGGGCCACCAGGUCCUGGGAGAGCACCCAGCCAGGAAAAAAGGGCAGAUUCUGCCACACAUACCUGAGAGCAUCCUAAAGCCUGAGACCAACAUGGAGUUUAGACGGCCUGCCUCUUCUCCGCCGUAGAGGCAGGUGAGAAAACAGACUCAAUGAUUAAGGAAUGCAUCUCCAAACGCCCAGCUGGUAGGCGGUAGGCAAAAUCUGAAUUCAGCGUUAAUUCUGCCGACAGACCUGGGUUUGAGUCCUGAUUCAUGAGACACAUGCUGUCUAUCAAGCUUCUGCACCACCAGGUGUUCUCAGCGGAUUUCCUAUGUGGCAAUCCAUGGACAUCACAAAGAGACGCCCUCACUUUUUGAAGUUCAAGGCUGGGGCACGCCAUUCUAUUGCCAAGUCUACCUAAAAGGCCCUCAAAACAUACUACGCAAAUAAAUGAAUCAAAAUUUUCAGUUUCCUGCCUGUGCGUGGCUGUAACAUUAAUUACCCAUGUGGCAGACACUGUUGAUCAGCACCUAAGAGUCACUCUGUCAAACGGCAAGGUCUCAGCCUGAGAACGCAAAGCCCUUCACUUCUCCUCUGGCUGACCUUCAUCUCCCCAAAGCCCAGGACACACCCCUAAUGUGUACCAGGUGGCCGGAACUAACUCCAGCAGGAUGUGCCCUCUGGAGCCCCAGGCGGGUGGCAACAAGGACCUGGCAGGCCUGCUCAAGGUUGGAUCCCUAAGAGGCCCUUCCACCCCAGAUGACAAGCCACUUGUUGCCCCCAGGAUAAGGUCCAUGUCUUCAGCUCCAUGUCUGGUACAGGAGGCCAGCGGAUGAAGGGAGAGUAAAAUCAGGUCCCCACAGUCUGAUGUCUCUCCUCAGCCCCGGUACAGGUGCCCAGGAAAUCUCUACUGCGGAGCAAAGACUCAUGGACAGACACCCCGCGCUCCCGUGAGGGCCUGGAGUGGCUUUGUGCAUGUGCAAUCCCAAUACCGGGACCUGGACACAGGUGGAUCCCUGAGGCUUGAUGAUAGCCUCAUUUACUUGGUGAGCUCUUUGUACCUGUGAGAGACCUUGCCUCAGAAAAAUCAAGGUGCCUGGCAUUCCUGAGGGUGAUAUCUGAGCCUUACCACCGUCCUCAUGGCGUACUCAAACACACACAGAAGGAAAAAGCAAGUGAGGCUAUCAGGCUGUAUAACAGCAAGACACCGUUUUAUUAAUGAAACAAAAGGAGUCUUUAGGAGACGGAUAUCUGCCAAGGUGUUAACAGCUGAUUUUUGUUGUUUUCUUUUGGCUUAUCUGUAUUUCCGGUUUUUUUCAAUGAAUAUCAACUAUUUGCAUGGUUUUAAAGAGCAAUAAAAAUAAAUCAACUCCA